GAGCCCGUGGUCUAACGGCAUGACGUUCGCUUGACGUGCGAAAGGUUGAGGGUUCAAAUCCCUCCGGGCUCA
rnacentral:tRNA from 1 species